GCUCUGACACUCCCAGCUGGAGGCAGGUGAUGGAGAGGUGGUUGUGGAAUGGAACUGCUUAAUCUGGAGAAUACUGGCCAAUCUGAAAAUGCAAGCAAACUGUCAAGUGUUUAGACAAGGCGCUACAUACCGUAGUAACGCUGAGUGGUUCACGAAGUGUUGGCAGGAGGCUGUCCUGAGUCUAAUCCCUGCUCCCUAAGGGGGCCCCGGUGAUGAUCUCACAGGGCUGAUGCCGGGCCUCGCCAAGAUAACGUCCGUGACGGCUUUGUCAGUAGACCUGAAGGAAUACGUACUAUGCUUUGUCAAGCUUUGUGACAGCGAGAGAUGAGGCCAUCAACACCCUUCCUUGUGCCUUACUCCUGAGCACUGGUGGUAUAAACGCUUCCAUGAAUGUCUUCUCAUCCAAGGUUUCUCAAAGAGUCUAACUUCCUUGAACAGCACUUACACAGAUCUACAGUACUGCUUUGAAAGCAAACGAGUGAAUUUGAUACUGAAUUGAGUGUAGAUGAGAACACUGCUUUAAGUCUUUGAGUUUUGAAAUCGCUGUAUGCUCUGUUAAAACAGUCCGUUGGACUCUCUGUAUAAAGUUCCGGAAGCCUGUCUGUCCGUCACUCCCUCCCCAUGUACCAGUAGGGCCUAUCACAGCCAUGAAAAGGUAAACUGCCCAAAUCCUCUCCCAUCUUUGCUGGGUUAUGUGAGAAAGAAAAGAUAAAUAAUAACGGUGAUGCUGAAGUAA